rnacentral:rRNA from 1 species
CGAUGGAUAGGGGUUCUGAGAGGAAGGUCCCCCACAUUGGAACUGAGACACGGUCCAAACUCCUACGGGAGGCAGCAGUGAGGAAUAUUGGUCAAUGGGCGAGAGCCUGAACCAGCCAAGUAGCGUGAAGGAUGAAGGCUCUAUGGGUCGUAAACUUCUUUUAUAUGGGAAUAAAGUUUUCCACGUGUGGAAUUUUGUAUGUACCAUAUGAAUAAGGAUCGGCUAACUCCGUGCCAGCAGCCGCGGUAAUACGGAGGAUCCGAGCGUUAUCCGGAUUUAUUGGGUUUAAAGGGAGCGUAGGUGGAUUGUUAAGUCAGUUGUGAAAGUUUGCGGCUCAACCGUAAAAUUGCAGUUGAAACUGGCAGUCUUGAGUACAGUAGAGGUGGGCGGAAUUCGUGGUGUAGCGGUGAAAUGCUUAGAUAUCACGAAGAACUCCGAUUGCGAAGGCAGCUCACUAGACUGUCACUGACACUGAUGCUCGAAAGUGUGGGUAUCAAACAGGAUUAGAUACCCUGGUAGUCCACACAGUAAACGAUGAAUACUCGCUGUUUGCGAUAUACAGUAAGCGGCCAAGCGAAAGCAUUAAGUAUUCCACCUGGGGAGUACGCCGGCAACGGUGAAACUCAAAGGAAUUGACGGGGGCCCGCACAAGCGGAGGAACAUGUGGUUUAAUUCGAUGAUACGCGAGGAACCUUACCCGGGCUUAAAUUGCAACAGAAUAUAUUGGAAACAGUAUAGCCGUAAGGCUGUUGUGAAGGUGCUGCAUGGUUGUCGUCAGCUCGUGCCGUGAGGUGUCGGCUUAAGUGCCAUAACGAGCGCAACCCUUAUCUUUAGUUACUAACAGGUCAUGCUGAGGACUCUAGAGAGACUGCCGUCGUAAGAUGUGAGGAAGGUGGGGAUGACGUCAAAUCAGCACGGCCCCUUACGUCCGGGGCUACACACGUGUUACAAUGGGGGGUACAGAAGGCGGCUACCUGGUGACAGGAUGCUAAUCCCAAAAACCUCUCUCAGUUCGGAUCGAAGUCUGCAACCCGACUUCGUGAAGCUGGAUUCGCUAGUAAUCGCGCAUCAGCCAUGGCGCGGUGAAUACGUUCCCGGGCCUUGUACACACCGCCCGUCAAGCCAUGAAAGCCGGGGGUACCUGAAGUACGUAACCGCAAGGAGCGUCCUAGGGUAAAACUGGUAAUUGGGGCUAAGUCGUAACAAGGUAGCCGUACCGGAAGGUGCGGCUGGAACACCU